rnacentral:rRNA from 1 species
AAUGAACGUUGGCGGCGUGGAUUAGGCAUGCAAGUCGUGCGAGAAGCUUCCUUCGGGAAGUGGACAGCGGCGAAAGGGAGAGUAAUACGUAGAAAUCUGCCCCAGAGUCUGGGAUAGCGGCGGGAAACUGCCGGUAAUACCGGAUAACGUCUUCGGACCAAAGGUGUGAUUCCGCUUUGGGAUGAGUCUACGACCUAUUAGCUAGUUGGCGGGGUAAUGGCCCACCAAGGCAACGAUGGGUAGCGGGUGUGAGAGCAUGACCCGCCUCACUGGGACUGAGACACUGCCCAGACAUCUACGGAUGGCUGCAGUCGAGAAUCUUUGUCAAUGGACGAAAGUCUGAACAAGCGACGCCGCGUGCGGGAUGAAGGCCUUCGGGUUGUAAACCGCUGUCGUAAGGGAGCAAAUUCAUAGGGGUUCUCCCCUAUGAUUGAGUGAUCUUAGGAGGAAGGACGGGCUAAGUUCG